rnacentral:rRNA from 1 species
CCUACGGGUGGCAGCAGUGGGGAAUUUUGGACAAUGGGCGCAAGCCUGAUCCAGCCAUUCCGCGUGAGUGAAGAAGGCCUUCGGGUUGUAAAGCUCUUUCGGCCGGGACGAAAUCGUAUGGGCUAAUACCCUGUAUGGAUGACGGUACUGGAAGAAGAAGCACCGGCUAACUACGUGCCAGCAGCCGCGGUAAUACGUAGGGUGCGUGCGUUAAUUGGAAUUACUGCGGGCGGAGGGUGAAGACGCGGUUGAAAUCCCCGGGCUUAACCUGGGAACUGCGGUUGUGACUGCAAGACUUGAGUGCGGCAGAGGGGGGUGGAAUUCCACGUGUAGCAGUGAAAUGCGUAGAGAUGUGGAGGAACACCGAUGGCGAAGGCAGCCCCCUGGGUCGACACUGACGCUCAUGCACGAAAGCGUGGGGAGCAAACAGGAUUAGAUACCCUUGUAGUC